AUAAAUUGAAGCCCUAAUCUGGGAAAUUAAUGGAGAAUUAUAAUGCUCAUGUGAUAUUAAGUAUAAGGUUAAUUAGGAUAAAGCUUAAUCAAUUCGAAAACCCUAAUCCUAAUUAUUUCAAUUUAUGAGUAAUUAGAAAACUCUAAUCUAAUUACGAGAUUUAAUUUCUAAAUUAGAAAAUUUAUUUUCUAUUAGAAACCCUAAUUAGUGGGUUAUAAACCCUAAGGGUUAAAAAGUUGUGUGUAAGGAAUAUGAACAUUAUGUGAUGGUUUAUAUUUAUUUAUUAUAUAAACAAACAAAAGAAAUUAGUGUAAACCUAAUUAUAUAUUAGGAAUGAAGGAUUUAAUAACUUAAGGGUUAUGGAAAAAGAGAAUUGUGGUAUUUAGAAUACUUACUAAUUCUAGGAGAUUUAUUUUAUAUAUAUCUCAAAUGAUUAAUUUUAUAACCUAAUUAUAGCAAGUCUAAUUGGGUUAAGGAAAUAAGUGUGCAUGAGCAAGGAUUUGUGUUAUAAUUGAGGAAAUGAAAAUCCUAAUUAAAUGAUUAGGAUAUAAUAAAAUUUAUCUAUUGGAUCAUGCUAUUCUUUUACAUAGCCCAAGCAAUUUAAUUGGAGAGCCCAAACAAUAAAAUAAUUGGCCCAAGUUAUGACCCAAUUUGUAUGGAUCUUCUAGAUGGUUAUUAAACAAACAAAUCAACAAAUAAAAUUGGCCAAAAUGGUAGAGAUAUCCGGCCAUUCAAGGGGCAAGUGAGCACAAGAUUCAUUUAAUUUAGCUAACAUUUUAGUUAGUCAAAAGUUGGUUACCAAAUCACCUAAGUUUAGCC
rnacentral:lncRNA from 1 species